GAGGAGAGGCCCAAGUCCAACAGUGAGAGUCAGAAAGGCAGUUGGAGGCCCUCGUGGUCACUGACCUGCUCUGACGCCUGCUCAUCUGUCUGCCCAACAUUCUCUGGCCCACCUGAUCCCCCACCCGACUGGAUACCUUGUUACAAUUUUGAAAGGAGAGGCACACAUCCAACAGUGAGUGAGAAAGGCAGGUGGAGGCUCUUGUGGUCACUGACCUGCUCUGAAGCCUGCACAUCUUCUGGCCCUGAUCGAACCCACCUGAUCUCCACACCCACCUGCUUACCUUCUUACCAUCUUGAGAGGAGAGGCCCACAUCCAACAGGGAGUGUCAGAAAGGUGGGCUUGAGCUGCACCCUCACCCUCUACCAAUAUCUCAAGGGAAGAGGACUGUGGUGGGUGCCUGGAGCACAUGGGUCUGAGGUCAAGGUGACAAGGACCUCUAGCACCAAUCCCUGAGCAUGAAGCCCCUUCUGGGUUCCAUGAACUACGGGCUGCUGCCAGAGGUGCCCGACACCCUGCAAGGAGCCCAAGGUUAGAGAUCAGGCUUUUGUCCAGAAAAGGAAGAGAAGGAGAAGGAUGGACAGGUGAGGCUGAAGGAGGUGCAGGAGGAUGCAGGAGGAGGCGGAGGAUGGGAAGGUCUAGCAAGAGGAGAGAUGGAUUCAGGAGAAAAGGUGGAUGCAGCAGGAUGGAGGGAGAGGUGAAUGAGGGGGAGAAGUAGGCACAAGAGGGAGAGGAAGAGGAGAAAACAUGAGUGGAGGAGAGGUGGAGGAUGCAAGGAAGAUGGAUCAGGAAGAGCAUGAAGAGCAGGAGGAUGAAGAGGAAUAGAUAGAGGAGAGGGAGGAAAGGACAGAGGAGGAGGACAUGGAUGGAUGGAAGAGGUUGAAGGAAAGAUGGAGGAGGAGGGAGGGGAAGCAGGGGUCAAGGCCAUCCCAGAGCAGGUGGUAUGGCGAGCUGUGUGGGGUCUCUUAAAGGGUGUACCUGAGUGAGCUUCUGGUUUGAUGCUUGGACCUGGUGAAAUCCAGCAGCGUGGUGCGGCCUGGGUGGCAAAUUUCCAGCCUGAGUCAAGUCAAACUGCAAGGGCUUAGAGUCCACUUGAGUACUUUCUUGGAAACCCUAAGUGAGAGGGGAGAGGAGGAAUGAAUGAAGGUCAGAGUUGGGGUCCAAAUGUUAGUGAAGACCUAUUUGCCCAGGUCCCUCACCUGCCAGGUGACACCUGCUCCUGUCAACUUCUCCUGCCAUGUUACAGCCCUGUCCCUGGAGAGGAUAACCUCCUUGGUUAUGUGCUUAAUACUGACCCAGACAUCUGACCUUUGUCCCAGAUGG
rnacentral:lncRNA from 1 species